UCGGUGGCGGACGGGUGAGUAACGCGUAAAGAAUUUGCCCUUCAGACUGGGACAACUAAUCGAAAGGUUAGCUAAUACCGGAUAUUAUGAGACCUUGGCAUCAAGGACUUAUGAAAGCUAUAUGCGCUGGAGGAGAACUUUGCGUUCCAUUAGCUAGUUGGUAGGGUAAUGGCCUACCAAGGCGACGAUGGAUAGCCGGCCUGAGAGGGUGAACGGCCACAAGGGGACUGAGACACGGCCCUUACUCCUACGGGAGGCAGCAGUGGGGAAUAUUGGACAAUGGACCAAAAGUCUGAUCCAGCAAUUCUGUGUGCACGAUGAAGGUCUUCGGAUUGUAAAGUGCUUUCAGGUGGGAAGAAGAAAGUGACGG
rnacentral:rRNA from 1 species